rnacentral:rRNA from 1 species
GAUGAACGCUGGCGGCGUGCCUAAUACAUGCAAGUCGAGCGAACGGACGAGAAGCUUGCUUCUCUGAUGUUAGCGGCGGACGGGUGAGUAACACGUGGAUAACCUACCUAUAAGACUGGGAUAACUUCGGGAAACCGGAGCUAAUACCGGAUAAUAUUUUGAACCGCAUGGUUCAAAAGUGAAAGACGGUCUUGCUGUCACUUAUAGAUGGAUCCGCGCUGCAUUAGCUAGUUGGUAAGGUAACGGCUUACCAAGGCAACGAUGCAUAGCCGACCUGAGAGGGUGAUCGGCCACACUGGAACUGAGACACGGUCCAGACUCCUACGGGAGGCAGCAGUAGGGAAUCUUCCGCGAUGGGCGAAAGCCUGACGGAGCAACGCCGCGUGAGUGAUGAAGGUCUUCGGAUCGUAAAACUCUGUUAUUAGGGAAGAACAUAUGUGUAAGUAACUGUGCACAUCUUGACGGUACCUAAUCAGAAAGCCACGGCUAACUACGUGCCAGCAGCCGCGGUAAUACGUAGGUGGCAAGCGUUAUCCGGAAUUAUUGGGCGUAAAGCGCGCGUAGGCGGUUUUUUAAGUCUGAUGUGAAAGCCCACGGCUCAACCGUGGAGGGUCAUUGGAAACUGGAAAACUUGAGUGCAGAAGAGGAAAGUGGAAUCCCAUGUGUAGCGGUGAAAUGCGCAGAGAUAUGGAGGAACACCAGUGGCGAAGGCGACUUUCUGGUCUGUAACUGACGCUGAUGUGCGAAAGCGUGGGGAUCAAACAGGAUUAGAUACCCUGGUAGUCCACGCCGUAAACGAUGAGUGCUAAGUGUUAGGGGGUUUCCGCCCCUUAGUGCUGCAGCUAACGCAUUAAGCACUCCGCCUGGGGAGUACGACCGCAAGGUUGAAACUCAAAGGAAUUGACGGGGACCCGCACAAGCGGUGGAGCAUGUGGUUUAAUUCGAAGCAACGCGAAGAACCUUACCAAAUCUUGACAUCCUUUGACAACUCUAGAGAUAGAGCCUUCCCCUUCGGGGGACAAAGUGACAGGUGGUGCAUGGUUGUCGUCAGCUCGUGUCGUGAGAUGUUGGGUUAAGUCCCGCAACGAGCGCAGCCCUUAAGCUUAGUUGCCAUCAUUAAGUUGGGCACUCUAAGUUGACUGCCGGUGACAAACCGGAGGAAGGUGGGGAUGACGUCAAAUCAUCAUGCCCCUUAUGAUUUGGGCUACACACGUGCUACAAUGGACAAUACAAAGGGCAGCGAAACCGCGAGGUCAAGCAAAUCCCAUAAAGUUGUUCUCAGUUCGGAUUGUAGUCUGCAACUCGACUACAUGAAGCUGGAAUCGCUAGUAAUCGUAGAUCAGCAUGCUACGGUGAAUACGUUCCCGGGUCU